AUGGAGGCACAGUCUCUGAAGGAGGGGGGAGGGAUGGAGGAGGAUAAGGAGGCUGAGCCAGGUCUCUGGAUGGGUAUUGGGAUUAGGCAUUGUAAAGGAUGGAUGGAGCAGGCUGCACGCAGCUGUGUGUCCUCAGAGAGGGCAGACUCUUUCCAUCCCCAGCAUGGCAGAAAACACACGAUGGAAAAAGUCUUGAAAGAGAGGAAGGAAGGGAUCUGGUUUGGAUCAUUGCUGUGGCGAUGUCUGCAGAAUAAGGUGUUUAUUUUGGAAAGGGCUCUGUUUACAUGUCUGUUUUUAUGCGACACCCACAUAUGGAGAUGUUUGCUUUGCCGGGACCUCACAUUCCUCCCCGCACACACAACACACACGUCCCAGCUGGGACAAGUGGGGGGUCCCUUCGCUCCCAGGUCCCCACCAGCCAGCCCCCGUCCCUCCCUCGGGCAGCUGGGACAAAGCACGGUCACGCUGCAAAAUGUUUCCAGCCAAAGAGUGUCCAAAGUCUCUCAAAGUGCAGUCCCCACCACCCUGCAUGUCAGUGGACGGAUGUUAUGUCCCUCACAUUUAAGGCACCUCGGUCACAGCGCUGCAGAAGCCCCUUCUUCCUCUCCUGGCCCACGGUCACCCUCUCAUGGUGGCCACAGGUCAGCCAGAGCAUCCCCUCACGUUGGAGCUGCACGAGCACAGAUCCCACUGCAAUUCUUCCUCAUCUCCAUGCUGAGGUGUUGGACAAGCAGGCUGUUACUAAAAAGCAGAGAGGGAGAACUUUCUUCUGACAACCUCCUUUGGCCAGACAGGGCCGUGUCCCAGACCCCGGGUCUGCGCAGAGCCUACAGCCCUGCACACCGAUGGUGGCAGAGGACAUGGGCUGCCUCCUGA
rnacentral:lncRNA from 1 species